rnacentral:rRNA from 1 species
UUCUAAAGCUAAAUACUGGCCAGAGACCGAUAGCGCACAAGUAGAGUGAUCGAAAGAUGAAAAGCACUUUGGAAAGAGAGUCAAAUAGCACGUGAAAUUGUUGAAAGGGAAGCGCUUGCAGCCAGACUUGCCUGUAGUUGCUUAUCCGGACUUUUGUCCGGGGCACUCUUCUGCGGGCAGGCCAGCAUCAGUUUGGGC